rnacentral:rRNA from 1 species
AUGCGUUUGACUGAUACGCUUAAAAUGAAUCCUUGUGCUAAGUAUAUGAAAGAUAUUGCUACAAAUAAAAGAAAGAUACUAGAAGCUGAAAUUUUCACCAUGCUUCCCAAUUAUACUUUUAAAGGUGGAAUACCUAAGAAACUAAGAGAUCCAGGAGUACCAACUAUACCAUGCUCCAUUAAAAGAAACUAUGUUAAAACUGCUUUAUGUGAUCUUGGAGCCGGUGUUAGUGGUAUGCCUCUCUCUUUAUAUCAUAGACUUGAUUUGAAUAAGUUGACACCUACUGAAAUAUCUUUGCAAAUGACUGAUAAAUCAACUGCUAUACCUGUUGGUAUCUGUGAGAAUGUGCCUGUUGUGGUUGCAAACAUUACUAUUUUAACGGGCUUUAUUAUUCUUAAUAUUCUCGAGGACGACAAUAUGUCGAUUAUCCUUGGUAGACCCUUUUUGAAUACUGCAGGGGAUGUUAUUGAUUGCAACGAAGACAAUGCCACUUUUCAUGUUAAUGGUAAUGAGCACAUGGUACACUUUCCGAGGAAACAACCUCAAAUCCACAAUAUUAAUUCUAUUGGAAAAAUUUCAACGAUUACUAUUAGAGGUUUUGAAUUCCCUCUUCCUACUGUCAAGAAGAAAAUAUGA